rnacentral:rRNA from 1 species
GACGAACGCUGGCGGCGUGCCUAACACAUGCAAGUCGAACGGAGAGUUUAGAAACGAGAAUUUCGGUUCAAGUUUUUAAAUUUCUUAGUGGCGGACGGGUGAGUAACGCGUGAGCAAUCUGCCUUUCAGAGGGGGAUAACACUCUGAAAAGAGUGCUAAUACCGCAUAACGUGUUUGAGUGACAUCACUUAGACACCAAAGGAGCAAUCCGCUGAAAGAUGAGCUCGCGUCCAAUUAGGUAGUUGGUGAGGUAACGGCCCACCAAGCCGACGAUUGGUAGCCGGACUGAGAGGUUGAACGGCCACAUUGGGACUGAGACACGGCCCAG